UACGUAGGGGGCAAGCGUUGUCCGGAAUUAUUGGGCGUAAAGAGCGUGUAGGCGGUCCGGUAAGUCGGCUGUGAAAGUCCAGGGCUCAACCCUGGGAUGCCGGUCGAUACUGCCGGACUAGAGUUCGGAAGAGGCGAGUGGAAUUCCCGGUGUAGCGGUGAAAUGCGCAGAUAUCAGGAGGAACACCGAUGGCGAAGGCAGGUCUCUGGGCCACUACUGACGCUGAGAAGCGAAAGCGUGGGGAGCGAACAGG
rnacentral:rRNA from 1 species